UUCUUUUUUAAAAAUGUAUUUAAUUAAAAUAAAUAUUAAUUAUGUCCCCCCUCCCUUCUUACCUUUACUGGGAGGAGGGGGGACAUUUCUCCACCCCUGGUGGUCCGGUGGGGAAUCCCUGGUGGUCCCAGUGGUGGUG